rnacentral:rRNA from 1 species
GCAAUGGGCGAAAGCCUGACGGAGCGACGCCGCGUGAGCGAGGAAGGCCUUCGGGUCGUAAAGCUCUGUUCUGGGGGAAGAAGAGAUGACGGUACCCCAGGAGGAAGCCCCGGCUAACUACGUGCCAGCAGCCGCGGUAAUACGUAGGGGGCGAGCGUUGUCCGGAAUUAUUGGGCGUAAAGGGCGUGUAGGCGGCCUGGCAAGUCGGCUGUGAAAUCCCCCGGCUCAACCGGGGAGUGGCAGUCGAAACUGUUGGGCUUGAGUGCAGGAGAGGAGGGUGGAAUUCCUGGUGUAGCGGUGAAAUGCGUAGAUAUCAUGAGGAACACCGGUGGCGAAAGCGACCUUCUGGCCUGUUACUGACGCUGAGGCGCGAAAGCCAGGGGAGCGAACA